rnacentral:rRNA from 1 species
CCUUAAGAAGGACUGAACAAGCCCAAUCCUGUCUGAUCUUGAAAGCUUAGUAGGGUCGGGCCUGGUUAGUACUUGGAUGGGAGACCACCUAGGAAGACUAGGUGCCGUAGGAG